AUUGAACGCUGGCGGCAUGCCUUACACAUGCAAGUCGAACGGUAACAGGUUAAGCUGACGAGUGGCGAACGGGUGAGUAAUAUAUCGGAACGUGCCCAGUAGUGGGGGAUAGCCCGGCGAAAGCCGGAUUAAUACCGCAUACGACCUACGGGUGAAAGCGGGGGAUCGCAAGACCUCGCGCUAUUGGAGCGGCCGAUAUCAGAUUAGCUAGUUGGUAGGGUAAAAGCCUACCAAGGCGACGAUCUGUAGCUGGUCUGAGAGGACGACCAGCCACACUGGGACUGAGACACGGCCCAGACUCCUACGGGAGGCAGCAGUGGGGAAUUUUUGGACAAUGGACGCAAGUCUGAUCCAGCCAUGCCGCGUGCGGGAAGAAGGCCUGGUU
rnacentral:rRNA from 1 species